GGUGCAAUGAUGUGAUGAAAACACAUAAGUGUUUUUGGGCAGUGGACAUUACCAUCAGGUUUUGCCGUGAGCCUUUUUUAUAAACGACUUCUCCUUCCACUGAGCACU